rnacentral:rRNA from 1 species
UACAGAGGUCUCAAGCGUUGUUCGGAUUCAUUGGGCGUAAAGAGCUCGUAGGCGGCUUGUUGCGUCGACUGUGAAAACCCGCGGCUUAACUGCGGGCUUGCAGUUGAUACGGGCAGGCUAGAGUUCGGUAGGGGAGACUGGAAUUCCUGGUGUAGCGGUGAAAUGCGCAGAUAUCAGGAGGAACACCGGUGGCGAAGGCGGGUCUCUGGGCCGAUACUGACGCUGAGGAGCGAAAGCGUGGGGAGCGAACAGG